UCAUCGCCAACAAGUAUACCAUCAUCAUCACCACCACCACAACGGGAACCGUUAUUUGAUCGCAAUAGUCAUCAACCGUUACCAAUAUUUACCGAAACCUAUUAUACUGUUCAGAACCAGAAAACUGGUCGAUGGCUACUAUGGUUGCCCAAAACGGGAACGGCCUACAAAUGGUCUAACAAAACAGUGAAUAUGUUUUAUCAUUGGUUAGAGCCGACAAAUUAUCUAGGUUGGAUCAACAUGCGACAUGGUAUUAAUUCAAAUAAUAUUAAAUUAUCCCGAUCAGAUUACCAGGGCUACUAUUUUAUCUACAGUCAAAAUUGUCUAUACCAUCAUCAUCACCACCACCACAACGGGAACCGUUAUUUGAUCGCAAUAGUCAUCAACCGUUACCAAUAUUUACCGAAACCUAUUAUACUGUUCAGAACCAGAAAACUGGUCGAUGGCUACUAUGGUUGCCCAAAACGGGAACGGCCUACAAAUGGUCUAACAAAACAGUGAAUAUGUUUUAUCAUUGGUUAGAGCCGACAAAUUAUCUAGGUUGGAUCAACAUGCGACAUGGUAUUAAUUCAAAUAAUAUUAAAUUAUCCCGAUCAGAUUACCAGGGCUACUAUUUUAUCUACAGUCAAAAUUGUCUAUACCAUCAUCAUCACCACCACCACAACGGGAACCGUUAUUUGAUCGCAAUAGUCAUCAACCGUUACCAAUAUUUACCGAAACCUAUUAUACUGUUCAGAACCAGAAAACUGGUCGAUGGCUACUAUGGUUGCCCAAAACGGGAACGGCCUACAAAUGGUCUAACAAAACAGUGAAUAUGUUUUAUCAUUGGUUAGAGCCGACAAAUUAUCUAGGUUGGAUCAACAUGCGACAUGGUAUUAAUUCAAAUAAUAUUAAAUUAUCCCGAUCAGAUUACCAGGGCUACUAUUUUAUCUACAGUCAAAAUUGUCUAUACCAUCAUCAUCACCACCACCACAACGGGAACCGUUAUUUGAUCGCAAUAGUCAUCAACCGUUACCAAUAUUUACCGAAACCUAUUAUACUGUUCAGAACCAGAAAACUGGUCGAUGGCUACUAUGGUUGCCCAAAACGGGAACGGCCUACAAAUGGUCUAACAAAACAGUGAAUAUGUUUUAUCAUUGGUUAGAGCCGACAAAUUAUCUAGGUUGGAUCAACAUGCGACAUGGUAUUAAUUCAAAUAAUAUUAAAUUAUCCCGAUCAGAUUACCAGGGCUACUAUUUUAUCUACAGUCAAAAUUGUCUAUACCAUCAUCAUCACCACCACCACAACGGGAACCGUUAUUUGAUCGCAAUAGUCAUCAACCGUUACCAAUAUUUACCGAAACCUAUUAUACUGUUCAGAACCAGAAAACUGGUCGAUGGCUACUAUGGUUGCCCAAAACGGGAACGGCCUACAAAUGGUCUAACAAAACAGUGAAUAUGUUUUAUCAUUGGUUAGAGCCGACAAAUUAUCUAGGUUGGAUCAACAUGCGACAUGGUAUUAAUUCAAAUAAUAUUAAAUUAUCCCGAUCAGAUUACCAGGGCUACUAUUUUAUCU